rnacentral:lncRNA from 1 species
CUUUGAGGAUGGAAGCGUUAUCGUCUCCCAUCACAGGUAACGAGAUGUGAGCAGAAACAACCUGUGUCACACCUGGGCAGAAGCUUUAAAGGCCAGUGCUGCCCUUGUUGGGGAAGCAAGUAUAGAUAUGAAUCGUUCCACAACGCGGAGCGCCCCCUGCCGACCCAUGCUGGGCGUGUACUAUAGCUCAUUGAAUCUUCACAACAACCAAGGCUCAUUUGAUGGGUGAAGAAACUGAGGACCAGAGAAGUGAAGCAAAGCACCAUCAUCAUAGAGCUUCAAGGGGCAGAGCCACAUCACCAAACUGUCUCCGACAAUGGCCUCUGAUCUGUCCUCAAGCUGAUGCUAUUGGUCAAAGGGACUAGGCCUACAUAGCUAGGAAAAAUUAGGCUCACCUGGCACUUAAAAACAGAUAUACAGUAUUGCCCUGAUGGAAGAUUGUUGACAUCCCCUAUCUCUUCACUUGUCCUGUCUAGAGCACUUGAAGAUGCUGCUAUUCCAGGCUACCUCAGCCCACCCCUUCUUAUCCAUCCAUUCAUCCAUCUUUUCAUCAACCCACUCAUCACAUCAUUUGUCCAUCCAUCCUUCCCCUAACCACCUACCCAUCUAUCCAGCUACUUAUUCAUCCAUUUAUCAAAUGGACCUACAUAUCUUUCCAUCCAUCUACUUACCCAUCCA